AGCACUCUAUGUGUGCUGAACUUGACGCUGACCUCAAGCCUCAACAUGGCGAUGGAUUGCCGGCACAUCUUAAAGUAAAGAUAUAAUGUUGCACUAUUCCUCAAAUCAUUCCCGUUACCUUUACCACCUUGAUCAUAAUCAUUAUUUCAUAAUGAUAUGCCUACUUACAAGUCUUUGUUUUAGGUUUUAACAUCACUGCACCUAUUGGCUGACGGUAGUUACUAACGGGGAACUGGACAAGACCAUGGCUUGUCCAUUGCUCAGUCUACCGUCAGCCGGUACUUGGAUCAAUUUGUAAUUGUGGUGAAUAGAAGACUCAAGGACACUUGGAUAGUCUUCCCAGAAAAUGAGAGGUGUUCAGGAGGCAUAUGGGGUUGCUAACAUUUUAGGCACAGUAGACUGCACCCAAGUAAAAAUAUUUCCAUAACCUUUACCGCAUGGCGUACAGUUUCUAAACAGAAAAGGAAUUCAUUCGCUAAACGUUCAGUUGAAAUCUUCCAAUAAAAGGCGAACCUGAAGCGGAAAUGGAAGGGGGCGCUGCUCGAGGGAUGCAUUACAUGCAGAGAAGCGUGCCCUAUUAAUAAAUAAAUAUUUCGCCUAGUAUUAUUUUA